rnacentral:rRNA from 1 species
AGAAUCAACGCUGGCGGCGUGCCUAACACAUGCAAGUCGCACGAGAAAGGGGAGCAAUUCCUGAGUAAAGUGGCGCACGGGUGAGUAACACGUGAAUAAUCUACCUUCGAGUGGGGAAUAACUGAGAGAAAUCUUAGCUAAUACCGCAUAACACUUACGAGUCAAAGCAGCAAUGCGCUUGGAGAGGAGUUCACGGCCGAUUAGUUAGUUGGCGGGGUAAUGGCCCACCAAGACGAUGAUCGGUA